rnacentral:rRNA from 1 species
CAGUCGCCGCGGUAAUACGUAGGGUGCGAGCGUUAAUCGGAACUACUGGGCGUAAAGCGUGCGCAGGCGGUUGUGUAAGACAGGUGUGAAAUCCCCGGGCUUAACCUGGGAACUGCGCUUGUGACUGCACAGCUAGAGUAUGGCAGAGGGGGGUGGAAUUCCACGUGUAGCAGUGAAAUGCGUAGAGAUGUGGAGGAACACCGAUGGCGAAGGCAGCCCCCUGGGCCAAUACUGACGCUCAUGCACGAAAGCGUGGGGAGCAAACAGGAUUAGAUACCCCCGUAGUCCCUGUCUCUUAUAC